rnacentral:rRNA from 1 species
AACGAACGCUGGCGGCAUGCCUAACACAUGCAAGUCGAACGAGACCUUCGGGUCUGGUGGCGCACGGGUGCGUAACGCGUGGGAACCUGCCCUUAGGUUCGGAAUAACUCCCCGAAAGGGGUGCUAAUACCGGAUAAUGUCUUCGGACCAAAGAUUUAUCGCCUUUGGAUGGGCCCGCGUUGGAUUAGCUAGUUGGUAGGGUAAAAGCCUACCAAGGCGACGAUCCAUAGCUGGUCUGAGAGGAUGAUCAGCCACACUGGGACUGAGACACGGCCCAGACUCCUACGGGAAGCAGCAGUGGGGAAUAUUGGACAAUGGGCGAAAGCCUGAUCCAGCAAUGCCGCGUGAGUGAUGAAGGCCUUAGGGUUGUAAAGCUCUUUUACCCGGGAUGAUAAUGACAGUACCGGGAGAAUAAGCUCCGGCUAACUCCGUG